rnacentral:rRNA from 1 species
AGAGCUCAAAUUUAAAAUCUGGUGGUCCUUCUGGGCUGUCCGAGUUGUAAUCUAGAGAAGUGCUUUCCGCGCUGGACCGUGUACAAGUCUCUUGGAAUGGAGCGUCAUAGAGGGUGAGAAUCCCGUCUUUGACACGGACUGCCAGGGCUUCUGUGAUGCACUCUCAAAGAGUCGAGUUGUUUGGGAAUGCAGCUCAAAAUGGGUGGUAAAUUCCAUCUAAAGCUAAAUAUAGGCGAGAGACCGAUAGCGAA